rnacentral:rRNA from 1 species
UACGUAGGGGGCAAGCGUUGUCCGGAUUUAUUGGGCGUAAAGAGCGUGUAGGCGGCCAGAUAGGUCCGUUGUGAAAACUCCAGGCUCAACCUGGAGACGCCACCUCAUACUGCCGUGGCUAGAGUCCGGUAGGGGAGCAUGGAAUUCCUGGUGUAGCGGUGAAAUGCGCAGAUAUCAGGAGGAACACCAGUGGCGAAGGCGGUGCUCUGGGCCGGAACUGACGCUGAGGAGCGAAAGCGUGGGGAGCAAACAGG